GACGAAUCGUCCAAACGUUAUUCGGAAUCACUGGGCUUACAGAGUUCGUAGGCGGUCUGGAAAGUUGGGUGUGAAAUCCCUCGGCUCAACCGAGGAACUGCGCUUGAAACUACCAGACUCGAGGGAGAUAGAGGAAAGCGGAACUGAUGGUGGAGCGGUGAAAUGCGUUGAUAUCAUCAGGAACACCGGUGGCGAAGGCGGCUUUCUGGGUCUUACCUGACGCUGAGGAACGAAAGCCAGGGGAGCGAACGGG
rnacentral:rRNA from 1 species